rnacentral:lncRNA from 1 species
UUUUUUUAUUUUCUGAUUUUAAUUUUUAUUCCUUUGAUUUUCAUUAAUUCAUAUUAAUUUUAAUAUUGAUCCAAAAAAUAUGAGAGUUUCACCAAAUAAUUUCAAAUAAUUUCCUCUUCCAUAUUUUGAAGUAAAAUUAUUUUUUGGAUCAUUAUUAAAAAUUUUCAUGAUUUAAUUGAUUGUGUGUUUAUUUUUAAUUUUUC